GCGGCAGGCUUAACACAUGCAAGUCGAGCGGGCGAGGUUGCUUCGGUAACUGAGCUAGCGGCGGACGGGUGAGUAAAGCUUAGGAAUCUGCCUAUUAGUGGGGGACAACAUUUCGAAAGGGAUGCUAAUACCGCAUACGUCCUACGGGAGAAAGCAGGGGACCUUCGGGCCUUGCGCUAAUAGAUGAGCCUAAGUCGGAUUAGCUAGUUGGUGGGGUAAAGGCCUACCAAGGCGACGAUCUGUAGCGGGUCUGAGAGGAUGAUCCGCCACACUGGGACUGAGACACGGCCCAGACUCCUACGGGAGGCAGCAGUGGGGAAUAUUGGACAAUGGGGGGAACCCUGAUCCAGCCAUGCCGCGUGUGUGAAGAAGGCCUUUUGGUUGUAAAGCACUUUAAGUGGGGAGGAGGCUCUCUUGGUUAAUACCUAAGAAGAGUGGACGUUACCCACAGAAUAAGCACCGGCUAACUCUGUGCCAGCAGCCGCGGUAAUACAGAGGGUGCGAGCGUUAAUCGGAUUUACUGGGCGUAAAGCG
rnacentral:rRNA from 1 species